ensembl:misc_RNA Metazoa_SRP Metazoan signal recognition particle RNA
GCUGGGCAUGGUGGUGCAUGCCUGUAGUUCUGGCUACUCGGGAAGCUGAGGCAGGAGGAUCACUUGAGCCUGGGAGAUGGAGGCUGCAGUGAGCCAUGAUCGCACCACUGCGCUCCAGCCUGGGCGACAGAGUGAGACUCUGUCUCCA